rnacentral:rRNA from 1 species
CUACGGGGGGCUCCAGUGGGGAAUAUUGCACAAUGGGGGAAACCCUGAUGCAGCGACGCCGCGUGAAGGAAGAAGGCCUUCGGGUUGUAAACUUCUUUGAUUGGGGACGAAUAAAAUGACGGUACCCAAAGAACAAGCCACGGCUAACUACGUGCCAGCAGCCGCGAUAAUACGUAGGUGGCAAGCGUUGUCCGGAAUUACUGGGUGUAAAGGGCGUGUAGGCGGGUAUGCAAGUCAGAUGUGAAAUUCCACGGCUUAACUGUGGGCGUGCAUCUGAAACUGUAUAUCUUGAGUGCUGGAGAGGAAAGCGGAAUUCCUAGUGUAGCGGUGAAAUGCGUAGAUAUUAGGAGGAACACCAGUGGCGAAGGCGGCUUUCUGGACAGUAACUGACGCUGAGGCGCGAAAGCGUGGGGAGCAAACAGGAUUAGAUACCCCAGUAGUC